rnacentral:rRNA from 1 species
CAUCCUAGACAGGGGAUCACUAGGCUCAUGGGUCGAUGAAGACCGCAGCUAACUGCGUG